rnacentral:misc_RNA from 1 species
GCUGUAAUGAAAAUUGUUACAUUUACAGCUGAGAAUGGAACACAAAACUUAUCCUAUCAUUGGCAUCAUUGCAAUAUUCUUUUAUAAGGGCUUUGCUGGGAUAUCAAUAUGAUUUGAUGUGGCUGUUUAUAUGAACAGACUUUAACGGAGUGGUGGUCGUGCAGAAUUAUCUAAAUAGGACUGGACGUGCAGAGUGGGCCAGACAGGUUAACUUAUGGUCUAUUUUUCAUCAUAAAGAAUCUCUCUCAGGAAUAUUCAUUUCUUUUACUUGCUUUGGUAGCUUAGGAAGUACCUUACAAUCUGCCAUCCCUAUAGUAAGCAAUUCUCUUCGUGAAAGUGAAACUUGAAGCUUAAAUGUUUCUUUUAUAAUGCAUUUCUUCAGAUUGAAUGCAUAUUAUCGUUGUUUUUUUUAUCUAUUGUUAUCAGUGCAUGGAGAACAGUUUUUGAUUCACUCUACCACUUUUUACCUUAAAGUAUUCAUGUAACACCUGAUAAAAAUCUCCAGCAACAUAAUUGAAGUGAGCUAGUCAAUCUGUCAAUGCGGCCUAAAAUUUUGAAUCCAGUUAAUGAAGGAAAACUGGAUUUAACGAUUGUUUUGAUUUAUAUCUUCAUUAAGAAAUUCAAAAUUUUCUUCUUGUGCUGUGUAGUUUCAUGAAGCUGCAAAGGAGAAGGAUGAUACUGCAUUGCUCAAGAUCAUGUCAAACUAUGGCGAGGAAGUAGUUACCGCUUUAGGAAGUGAAGUUGAUAGGCUUGAAAAGGAGAUCCAGGAGCUUGUUCCUGGUAUUCGGCAUGUUGAUAUAGAAGCUCACAAUCCAACAUGACAAACCCCAUGAUUUUAAUGUUCAUACAUCAGUAUCUUCUUGUCUUUCUAUAUUAUAUACUGCUUCGAUGAAUAUCAUGCAUGGCAGAUUAUAGGCUUUUUGGAUAUUUGUGCUAUCUACCAUGCAAAUUUUUAUAGUGAGACCCCAAACCUGUUAAGAUAUUGCUAGCUCUCCUGUAAUUGGUAUAUUAUAAGAAUAUGUCACCUUUGAUAUUGUCUGGAUUCUGAAAGGAAGUGUGAUUCGUUUGAGCAAAUUGGCUGGAAUUUGAUACACGAAGUUGAGCUGCCUUUGGUUUUUCAUGAAAUGAAUUAUUUUGUUAGAAGUUGCAUAUAUUGUUU